rnacentral:rRNA from 1 species
GACAGCAGUGCCGCGGGAAUACGUAGGGUGCAAGCGUUAAUCGGAAUUACUGGGCGUAAAGCGUGCGCAGGCGGUGUUGUAAGACUGAUGUGAAAUCCCCGGGCUCAACCUGGGAACUGCAUUGGUGACUGCAACGCUGGAGUGCGGCAGAGGGGGAUGGAAUUCCGCGUGUAGCAGUGAAAUGCGUAGAUAUGCGGAGGAACACCGAUGGCGAAGGCAGCCCCCUGGGAUAAUACUGACGCUCAUGCACGAAAGCGUGGGGAGCAAACAGGAUUAGAUACCCCUGUAGUCCCUGUCUCUUAUACC